rnacentral:rRNA from 1 species
UCUGCCCGAUAGAGGGGGAUAACUACUGGAAACGGUGGCUAAUACCGCAUAACAGUUUAUGCCGCAUGGCAUAAGAGUGAAAGGCGCUUUCGGGUGUCGCUGAUGGAUGGACCCGCGGUGCAUUAGCUAGUUGGUGAGGUAACGGCUCACCAAGGCCACGAUGCAUAGCCGACCUGAGAGGGUGAUCGGCCACACUGGGACUGAGACACGGCCCAG